AAUAAGUUUCAUCUUCCUCAAAAUGGUGCCCAGGGCUGGUUCCAUCCUCCUGACACUCACUAGUAGGAGAGCUGAAAACCGCGGACAGGGAUGCUCAUGGCCUCAGAACCCUUUGACUUUGUCCAGUGGAGGGGAUGGGACAAGCCCGUGACCAUUCCUUACUCUGGCAGCCUCCGACAGCCUGACACUCCUAUUAGCCCAGGGGAGUAAACAGACCCACAGCUGUCUAUAAAAAGCCGGAAACAGUUCUGUUUCCAUUCAAGGUGGAUGACUGGGGGGUGCGUGGGAGGGGGCGAGGACCGCUACAUCUGGGCGAGGGCGGAGAUGAUCUGCUGCCUCUGACGCUUCUGUUGUUAUCCCGAAGAAGGGCUUUCUUCAUCCUAGAGACUCGGGUUCUUUGUUUCCUGUGGCAGAGCUCUGCUCCUGACUCCUUGGACUUCUACCCACAAUGUCUCAUCUGCCUUCUCACCCUGGAAGAACCCUCUGCCCUUACAGCUUUCCCCUCCCACUGUGGCCAAGAACUGAAUACUACUGGGGUGCCCAUCAUUUAG
rnacentral:lncRNA from 1 species